rnacentral:tRNA from 1 species
UGGGAUGUAGCUCAGUGAUGGAGUGCUUGCCUAGCAUGCAUAAGUUCCUGGGUUCAAUUCCCAGCAUCACAA